rnacentral:sRNA from 1 species
CCCUAGCCCUGAUAGCAGUGGAAAUCCUUUUGCGGCCGCAGCGCAGCGGAGGCCGCAAAAGAUUGCAACGGAUAGCAGGAAAAAGC